GGCUUUAAAGACACCGCUCAUCAUGCCCCGCCUCUUCCUAGUGUGGACCAGUUCUGCUUACCCUUGUCGUCGAGGGGCGGUGCCCCACGGCGCAGGCCGGAAAUUGUAGGCGCCGGGUCCGUUGCGCCAUACUGGAGAGUCCUCCGCGCGUGUGAUCUCUGCAGGUCUUGUUGGAUCCCUGGCGCUGUUCCCUGAAGAAUCUCUUACCUACACUUUCCGGCUUUUGGCGGCUUUUGUCUCUUCUCUCACAGGAGAAUUCUGCUGGCUAAUAGUGCUUCAGGCGAAAAAUAAAACCUUGCCAGAAAACUUCCAGUAGAGCCUCACACACUCUCCCCGCCUUCCGGUCCAAAAGGCAUAGCCUUCCUGACUUCUCACCCUGUGUACUGGCGGUGUCUGUCUAUCUAAUUAUAUACCAGAAGCAAACACCAAGAUGGGAUUACACCUGCAAGUACUUUAUUGGGGAAAUGCCUGUGUGGGAACAUCUCAAGGAAACCAGAGGAGGCAGGGAGUUGUUAGACCUUGAUGAAGUGAGCACAAAAUUUAUAAGGAAAACUCCCGACAGAUACAAUUUCCAAGAUACGUGGAAAGCCGCCAAGGUAGAGGAGAUUGGAAACCAGGAUGGGAAUAAAGGGAUCCAGAGCGUCAAAUCCUUCCUGGAGAAGAAAAAGGACAUAGUAUUUGUUAAGUGACAAAGCAGCAGCGAUAAUUUUAUUUAAACAUUUUAAGGGUAAGUUCUUUGCUUUUGUUCUAUUCUAUUCCCCCUGCUCCAGGGCUGGCUACUUUUGCUCUGUGUGGCCACAAAUACUAUAUUUAAAAAAGAGAUAAUGUUUGGGGGGGGGUGGAGGGUGUCACUUAUCUGAGUGGGUAUACACAUAACAUACAUAUUUAAAUUUUUUUACAUUUCUGACUUUAACUGCUAACAACUGUUUGAUAGUUCAAAUACUCAAAAACAGAAAAUAAACAAAAUGGAAGAAGAUGCUAAAUAGAAUACAAACUGAAACAAACGAAUCAAACAGAACACAGAAGGGAGGAGGAAGACUAACCCAAACCAGCUUCUGAACAGAGUAUUUGAGCUAAAGGUCCCUUAAGGCAAAAGACAAAAAUCUGCUCUAAAAGAAGAUAUUAAGUCUAAAUAAAACACAAGUAAAAAAAA